rnacentral:rRNA from 1 species
UGGGGAAUAUUGGACAAUGGGCGAAAGCCUGAUCCAGCCAUGCCGCGUGUGUGAAGAAGGUCUUCGGAUUGUAAAGCACUUUAAGUUGGGAGGAAGGGCAUUAACCUAAUACGUUAGUGUUUUGACGUUACCGACAGAAUAAGCACCGGCUAACUCUGUGCCAGCAGCCGCGGUAAUACAGAGGGUACAAGCGUUAAUCGGAAUUACUGGGCGUAAAGCGCGCGUAGGUGGUUUGUUAAGUUGGAUGUGAAAUCCCCGGGCUCAACCUGGGAACUGCAUUCAAAACUGACUGACUAGAGUAUGGUAGAGGGUGGUGGAAUUUCCUGUGUAGCGGUGAAAUGCGUAGAUAUAGGAAGGAACACCAGUGGCGAAGGCGACCACCUGGACUAAUACUGACACUGAGGUGCGAAAGCGUGGGGAGCAAACA